UCUGAGAGUUUGAUCCUGGCUCAGAACGAACGCUGGCGGCAGGCUUAACACAUGCAAGUCGAACGAGAAGCUACCUUCGGGUAGUGGAAAGUGGCAGACGGGUGAGUAACGCGUGGGAAUAUACCUAGAGGUACGGAACAACGCCGGGAAACUGGUGCUAAUACCGUAUGUGCCCUUCGGGGGAAAGAUUUAUCGCCUUUAGAUUAGCCCGCGUUAGAUUAGCUUGUUGGUGAGGUAAAAGCUCACCAAGGCGACGAUCUAUAGCUGGUCUGAGAGGAUGAUCAGCC
rnacentral:rRNA from 1 species